rnacentral:misc_RNA from 1 species
UGCGUUAUUGUUUUGUCGUCGUGUGUGAGUGCGUCUCUCUCUCUCGUUUUUUCGCGUGCGCACACGUGUCUACGACGCACCGGCAUGCCAGUAACGAAACACGCAUCAACACAAGAAGCUACCACCACAUCGCAGACGUAUUGAGCGAUACGCUCACCUCUCGUUGUCUCUCCGCUUAUUUUAGUUUUCUCCUCACCUUUUUCUUUUGCGGUGUGCGUUGUCUGUUGUCCAUUUUUGUCUAAACCUGUCGGCUGCACUGCCCUCUCACACCGCAUCGACACCCCCCCCCAGUGCUGCGAAGCAGGACACCGUGUGUGCGUCUGUGUGCGCGCUCGCAGAAGAAAAACGAAGGCAUUCGCACUGGCAAACGCCCGCUCUCACGCCCCCCUCUCCUCCCACUGCCUGCUGAAUUAUAAGCGAAUAGACCGUCGAAAGCUGCAGUCUUCAACUCCAUUCCCAAAGAAAUGAGCUACUCGCCGCAUUUCGGUAGCCACUCGUCACUCCCCACAGUGCGCGUGGGGUCCGCCGCGAACUCGAUGCCUGCCGGGUUGUAUGGAAGCCGUAACAUGGCAUGCUCCCUUGAAUCGGGCACUCUUUUGAGGCCUCGACAGAGCGACCGCGCAUCGCGGUCCCCGCUGAUCUGCAGCCAGAGGCUUGGCAAGUACAUCGCAGGAAUGAGCUCAAUCUCUGCCAUUGACACGGCAAGCACGAAGCUAUCCAUCCCCAUAAAUGCCGUGGAGCCGACGCUCGCCUUCGAGGACGACGGCCUCGUCCCCGGACUCUGCCGCCUAUUCAUGGAAGGACGCUGCCGUCAAGGAGACCGCUGCUUUCAGGUGCACGCGAACCCCAGUGUGGUGGAGCAGCUUCGGCACGAGGCGUUCAAGACGCCGUCCUGCUGCCCUGCACAUGGCGCCAAGUGCAACAUGGAGGGAUUCCCUCUGGGCCUUGCCGUCAUCAUUGAUCCACCACGCGAGAAAGAAUCGACCGCUAUGGUAGAGGCCCACGCCGAGCGUGAAAACGGGAGCGCCGCCGCAUCUCUGUCGAACGGCGAGACGAACAUGGCUGCCACCGGCGGCGACGCCUAUAGCGGCCACAGCAUAAAUAACAGGGAGCAGAUGCCGAUUGCGCUCCACAAUGUUUGCCCCACCCGUUUCCUCUGGUCGAGGUACGAGGAAAAUGGCGGCAUGCUGUUGCACAUGCCGAAGUCGAAGAUCUGCCGCGAGCAUCGCAAGGGCCUCUGCCGCUUCGGCAACGAGUGCAGCUUCCUGCAUGUGUGCCGUCAGAUCCCCAUCGUCAGCGGUGACGAAGAGCUUCUCAGCCACAGCCGCACGCCGUUGCGCCACAGUGCGGUGCAAGGCAGCAUGCAGGAUUUCUCCCACCCGCCGUCGUUUACCACCGCGAGCGGAUCUCUGUGCCACCACGCUCAUUCUCAGUCGCACUCACAGGCUAACCUACAACCCUUCCAGGGCAGCACCGUCAUGUCCCAAAACGGCUCGUACAUGGACGGCUCUCUUGGUAACAGCCAAACCAGUUCGCGGCCGCAUCUCUCACGCGCUCCAACGGGUUCGGAGAGCUAUGGUGGUCAUCAGCCACUGCUGCGGCCACUCGGUGGCGUGCAGAAUUCGCACAGUAGUGUAGCGGCACGUGGGUCCUUCUCGCACAACCCCUACGCCGAGGCAUCCUCGUUUCAAAACUGAAGGGGUGACGACGAAGAGCAGAAAAUGGUGUGCAGGGUGCCUUUAUGUUACCUUCUUCUGAUUUCCUUUUGGCUCUCGCUUUUCUUCGUCACCGGCACGUCCUUCCCCAUCGCCCCCGCCCUCGCUCUGGGUCACUGCUAG